rnacentral:rRNA from 1 species
ACAGAUCUAGCUUGCUGGAUGCUGACGAGCGGCGGACGGGUGAGUAAUGCAUAGGAAUCUGCCCGAUAGUGGGGGAUAACCUGGGGAAACCCAGGCUAAUACCGCAUACGUCCUACGGGAGAAAGGGGGCUCCGGCUCCCGCUAUGGGAUGAGCCUAUGUCGGAUUAGCUAGUUGGUGAGGUAACGGCUCACCAAGGCCACGAUCCGUAGCUGGUCUGAGAGGAUGAUCAGCCACAUCGGGACUGAGACACGGCCCGAACUCCUACGGGAGGCAGCAGUGGGGAAUAUUGGACAAUGGGGGCAACCCUGAUCCAGCCAUGCCGCGUGUGUGAAGAAGGCCCUCGGGUUGUAAAGCACUUUCAGCGAGGAAGAACGCCUAGCGGUUAAUACCCGCUAGGAAAGACAUCACUCGCAGAAGAAGCACCGGCUAACUCCGUGCCAGCAGCCGCGGUAAUACGGAGGGUGCAAGCGUUAAUCGGAAUUACUGGGCGUUAAGCGCGCGUAAGGUGGGCUUGAUAAAGCCGGUUGUGAAAGCCCCGGGCU